rnacentral:rRNA from 1 species
UACGUAGGGGGCAAGCGUUGUCCGGAUUUAUUGGGCGUAAAGAGCGUGUAGGCGGCCAGGUAGGUCUGCUGUGAAAACUCGAGGCUUAACCUCGAGCUGUCGGCGGAAACCAUCUGGCUAGAGUCCGGAAGAGGAGAAUGGAAUUCCCGGUGUAGCGGUGAAAUGCGUAGAUAUCAAGUGGAACACCAGUGGCGAAGGCGAAUCCCUGGAAAAUACCUGACACUGAGGCACGAAAGCUAGGGGAGCAAACAGG